UGACCGCGUAUGAAGUACGAAUUCACCUUCGGGUGACAGGGAGACAGGUGGUGCAUGGUUGUCGUCAGCUCGUGUCGUGAGAUGUUGGGUUAAGUCCGCAACGAGCGCAACCCCUACGUUUAGUUGCUAACGCGUGAAGGCGAGCACUCUAGACGAACUGCCGUUGACAAAACGGAGGAAGGUGGGAUGACGUCAAAUCAUCAUGCCCUUAUGUUCUGGGCUACACACGUGCUACAAUGGCCGGUACAGACGGACGCAAAGCCGCGAGGUGGAGCAAAUCCUAAAAAGCCGGUCUCAGUUCAGAUUGUAGGCUGCAACUCGCCUGCAUGAAGAUGGAGUUGCUAGUAAACGCAGGUCAGCUAUACUGCGUUGAAUACGUUCCCGGGGCUU
rnacentral:rRNA from 1 species